AGAAUACAAGCAACAGCACUCACUUUGGAAGCACUGGAAUAAUACAGAGAAGAUUAGCAUGGCCCCUGUGCAAGGAUGACAUGCAAAUUUGUGAAGCAUUCCAUAUUUUU
ensembl:snRNA U6 U6 spliceosomal RNA